rnacentral:rRNA from 1 species
CUACGGGAGGCUCCAGUGAGGAAUAUUGCACAAUGGGGGGAACCCUGAUGCAGCAACGCCGCGUGGAGGAUGACGCAUUUCGGUGUGUAAACUCCUUUUAUAUGUCAAGAAAAUGACGGUAGCAUAUGAAUAAGCGCCGGCUAACUCCGUGCCAGCAGCCGCGGUAAUACGGAGGGCGCAAGCGUUACUCGGAAUCACUGGGCGUAAAGGACGCGUAGGCGGGUUGAAAAGUCAGGUGUGAAAGCCUACAGCUUAACUGUAGGACUGCACUUGAAACUCUCAAUCUAGAGUAUGGGAGGGGCAGAUGUAAUUAGUGGUGUAGGGGUAAAAUCCGUAGAUAUCACUAGGAAUACCUAAAGCGAAGGCGAUCUGCUGGAACAUUACUGACGCUAAGGCGUGAAAGCGUGGGGAGCAAACAGGAUUAGAUACCCCAGUAGUC